UGGUACAUGCUUACUCAAGCAAUGUUGACUA
rnacentral:piRNA from 1 species